GCUUCUGAGAGAUGGAAACUCCCACUGAAGCUAUGAGAAAAGCAAUUCAUGUAGAUGAUUCAAAUGAUGUUCCAGUGAGGAGAGCACAGCCCAGAGCCUGCCUGUACUGCAGGUGGCAGUGGGACUGAACCAGCUCCUCUCCCAUCAGGGAGACUGAGCUGUCCAGGGUUGGUUGGAGCACAAGACAUGGGUUAUGUUUUUCACUCUGAAGACAGCGUGCAUCUAGAAUUAUGUCCUCACAGGGGCUGCUUGAAAUGCUGUGGGAUUCCUGAGCUGAGGUGCCUGGCCAAAAUCCCGUCCUGCUGUCUGCUGUGGGAGAGUGCAUUACCCCACCAGGCAGGGGGCCAUGCUGAACCUGCUGGGUUUUUAACUAGGCAUCAUGAGUCAGGCACUUUACUGUUAAAAGUGCAGGGUUUGGGCUAUUUAAUUAUUUGUUAGCCAUAAGAAUCUGAGGACUCACGAACCAUCUCUUUUGAGGAAUGCAGUGAUUUCAUCAGAUAAAUGUUUAAAGCAGGGCUAAGAUAGCAGACAACCACAGCAGAAAAAUAUUUUUUCCUUUGAGAUAACCUCUUAAAUAUAUACAUAUUUAAAACCAUUUUAUCUUUUCUGUCUGAUUCUAAGCACCCCUUCUGUCAGCAGCAGACAGAAUUAAAAAGAGAAAACCCUCAGUGGAUGCCUUUCUUUUUUUUGUGAAAUGUGUCAGAUGAUAAGCAAAAUGUAACUGGGUAUUUAUUCUACUUUUCAUGUGCCCUGCAAACUGUGGAAGGCAGCAAGAGAUAGAGCAGCAACAGCCUGAUAAGCCUGGCUUUUCCCUUUUUGCUGGCUUGCUAUUUACUUUACUUCCUAUGAGGGAACACUGGGCUAGAGACCAAAUGUCUUUACUCAUCUGGGAGAUUUUAAAGCUGCUGGGAAUAGACUGGUGCAAAAAGCAACUCCUUGAUUACAAGAUUUGUAGGUAAAUGUUACCCUUGCAAUAAUCAUCAUUUCCCCUCCAUCUCCUCCACAGCACAUUCUGUUCUAGCAGUCCUUAACAAACAAUAAUAGCAAAAAUAAGCCACAUUUUUUUUACACUGGUUAUUUUCUCUCUCCUUACUGAAAAGGACACAUAAUGGAAUGAAUCUGGUUUCCCAUCUGUUGCUAGGUGCAAUUCAAAGUGGCAGUUUUGACCUAUAAAGAUUUGGCUGUUUUGCGUCAUGCGUACCCUAGAGACAGCCUCUCCCCUUUAAUUUCUCUGUGUCUCCAUUUUCCAUCUGUGAAAAAUCAGGAUAACACUACUUUUCUACUUCACAGGGAUUUUACAAGGACACAUUUAUUAGCAGGCACAAAGCAUAGGCUUUGUAUUAGACACCAUGCAAAUAUCUAUGUCUUGCUGCUAUCCACAGAACCCGAGUUGAUUUACCUUCAUUAUGUGACAGAAGGUGAUUUGUUGUCCUAGGCUGCAUUAUGGAUGUCCAUCUCUGAAUCUUGCCAUUUUUAAACACAUUCAUAAUAAGAUACUUGAAAGUCAUCCAGCUGAGUUUGGUCUUUCCCAUUAAAUAGUUUGGGGCAUCCCAGGGGUAGGAAAUUAACCUAUCAUUAGCCUAUCAUUAAGUGUGUUUAUAUGUUGCACUUGUGGGUCCCAAAUAAAGAAAGGGCCGGUGGGAACCACAAACUAUUGGACUGGAGGAGGUGUUUGUAAGAUACUUACCUGUUUGGGAAUGUUUCCUCAGAGCAUGUAUCUCCAGAGCUGUGGUUGCCUGUUGUAUUAGAAGGGAAGUAGUUCUUCAGUCAGCUCCAUAAAUCAGUAGUUCUCAGGUGCAUUUUUGCAGUCACAUGCAGGUCAGGUUUAAGCAGUUCAACAUGCCUGUUUGAGAGAAGACAUCUCCAGGGCAUGUUGGUUGAUCAAAGUGGUAUUUUAGACUUGUACUAAAUUAUGGACUAAAUUAUGAACAAGAGUUCAGGGGACGGGUAGGGUGUUUUGAGGAGCAGUGGCUUUAUAGCAGCAAUCCUUCAGUGCAGACUCAGGGUAUUUCAUACAUCUCCUAUUUCCAAUGAGAUUGUUGGAAUGACAAAAUUCAAGCUCAGCAGUGAUAGUAGUUCUGUGACUGAACAGCAGACAAGGCAGCAGCUUUCCUUGUGGAUGAUUAGGAGACAUGAUCCAUAAGCUAGAGGGACUGUCUUGCUCAUUUUUGUGGGCUCUGUGCCUACCAGCUCUUUAUAACCCUUAGUAAAAUCUUUGGAGUCUUAUUUCCAGGCUGUGCUAAGCAUGGCUGGUGCAUAUGAUGUUAGCCCCCAGUGGGGAUAUUGGUAACUAUUCCCAGUCUCAUAGUGACAGAAAAGAUGCAGGCUGUGCCAAAGUAACACAUGGGAAAGUGUUAUAGGGUCUAUUAAAGAUCAUUGCAGUGUUUUAAGUUUUUCACCGUAUUAUAUCCAAUAUUACUCUAUUUUUUCAUAAUAUUAUCUUUGUAACAGUAAUGAAAAUUGACCUUGUUUAAUAAGAAACUCUUCUAUUAAAACUUGUGUGUAUGCAUACACAGGCUUUGCAGAAGAUGCAAAGUCUUCUGCAGAGAGCUGUACCAGCUUAAAAACAAGAAAAUUGGAACUGCCACGUUACCUUUCUAACUCCCCUUAAUUCUAUUAUUUGUGGUAGAAUUUUGCCUUUUUUAGGUUUAGCUACCUUUUAAGAAUCUCGUUGAGAGAAUUUAGAAUGAAUAGAUAAAAGGAAACUGCAGCAGAGCUUUCUUCAACCUGUGUUUAGGAACAUGUUACCGUAAUUGCAAAUAAGUGGUUAAUUAAAAUUUAGCUUAAAAUGUAUUCACUUUAGUUCACUAAACAAAACAGAACCCCUUCAUGUGAACAUCAAUGAUGUGGAAGCUGCAGUUUUGAGGUUUGGCAGUGACACAGCUUUUGAGAACUGGAAAGGCGUAUCAGGGAAAGAUAGAGACAGGGCCUCAUCCUGCAAGCCUUUACUGAUUUGAUAGCUCUUCUUAUUUCUUUAGGGCAUGUUUGCCUGUAGCACUGCAUUCCAGUGGAAAGGCUCUUAAUUUUGCUGAAAGGAUGGGGUCAGGAGGAGGUGACAUCUCCCUGCG